rnacentral:rRNA from 1 species
AGUGAACGCUGGCGGUAGGCCUAACACAUGCAAGUCGAACGGCAGCACAGUAAGAGCUUGCUCUUACGGGUGGCGAGUGGCGGACGGGUGAGGAAUACAUCGGAAUCUACUUUUUCGUGGGGGAUAACGUAGGGAAACUUACGCUAAUACCGCAUACGACCUACGGGUGAAAGCAGGGGAUCUUCGGACCUUGCGCGUUUGAAUGAGCCAAUGUCGGAUUAGCUAGUUGGCGGGGUAAAGGCCCACCAAGGCGACGAUCCGUAGCUGGUCUGAGAGGAUGAUCAGCCACACUGGAACUGAGACACGGUCCAGACUCCUACGGGAGGCAGCAGUGGGGAAUAUUGGACAAUGGGCGCAAGCCUGAUCCAGCCAUACCGCGUGGGUGAAGAAGGCCUUCGGGUUGUAAAGCCCUUUUGUUGGGAAAGAAAAGCAGCAGGUUAAUACCCCGCUGUUCUGACGGUACCCAAAGAAUAAGCACCGGCUAACUUCGUG